CUACUCACCUGGUAAGGGAGACAUCGUGAUCACAAAGGUGGUUUUCCCAGAGUGAGGCUUAUCCAUUGUACUCCGGAUGUGCUGACCCCUGGAAUUUCCCCCAAUGUGGGAGACUCAGCUGCAAAAUUGUUGUGGUGGGGGACUGACGGCAUUGGCACUCUUCCCUA